UGUGGAGUGAUUCAGUUGGAAGAAUAUUUCAUAAGCAGAAAGCCGUGGAUUUCAAUCUCAUCUCCACAA
rnacentral:tRNA from 1 species